CUCAAAGGGUCUCCCUUUACAAGGCAGGCAGGACCUUCCCUGAAGAAUUCUCAAAAAGAAUAUCAGGUGACAUGGCCUGUGGAUGUGAUGCUCCUUCUGUGCCACCCUGUGAGACAAGUCAGCUCCGUUGGUUCUGACCUCUGUCCCUGUGGUCAUGCAUGCGCUCUUGGUGACUUUGUGGCACUGAUGGGCAGAUCAACGUUUUCAUGCUUAUAGACCUGGAAGUGGAAGAACUACGGCAAAGCCAGUCGUCAACAUGUGUUAGAAUCAUAGAAUAGCUUGGGCUGGGAGAGCCCUUAGAGAUCAUCUAACUCCAGCCCUGUGCCAUUAGCAGGAACACCUUCCACUGUAUUCAUAGCAUACAGUAUACUAUAAUAGGUUUAAAACCACUUUCUCCGUUAAGUCUGCAAGAACAAGUUUCCAGCAGUUCUGACUACCCAACACUGCCAGGAGAACUUCAGUAUAAAAUGAGUAAACUUUUCACAGACUUGUGGGUGAAGUGCUUACUCUUCGAUUGUUCAUAAGGGGGACUCAGAAGACCUGUUGCCAGCCCUGGUAAUAAUACCAUGAGCAGGGCUGCGAAUAUUUUCCGCAGUACUGUGAUGCAAUUUCUUUGAUCCACUUUACAGCAAAUAAAGCUCCAGUGCAAUUA